UUUCACUAGGGGAGCCGCUUGCGGCUGAGAGGAUUUUCCGACCCUUGGAACCUGUUGGGGUAAUACCUGCGUAGGGAAGUGACAAAGC
rnacentral:ncRNA from 1 species